rnacentral:rRNA from 1 species
GGAAUAUUGGACAAUGGGCGAAAGCCUGAUCCAGCAAUGCCGCGUGAGUGAUGAAGGCCUUAGGGUUGUAAAGCUCUUUUACUGGGGAUGAUAAUGACAGUACCCAGAGAAUAAGCUCCGGCUAACUCCGUGCCAGCAGCCGCGGUAAUACGGAGGGAGCUAGCGUUGUUCGGAAUUAAUGGGCGUAAAGCCCACGUAGGCGGCUUUGUAAGUUAGAGGUGAAAGCCCAGGGCUCAACCCUGGAAUUGCCUUUAAGACUGCAUCGCUUGAACAUCGGAGAGGUAAGUGGAAUUCCGAGUGUAGAGGUGAAAUUCGUAGAUAUUCGGAAGAACACCAGUGGCGAAGGCGACUUACUGGACGAUUGUUGACGCUGAGGUGCGAAAGCGUGGGGAGCAAAC